ACACGUAAACAACCUGCCUUCAGGAUGGGGACAACAGACGGAAACGACUGCUAAUACCGAAUACGCUUGGAAGACCGCAUGAUCUUCCAAGGAAAGGGUGGCCUCUACCUGUAAGCUAUCGCCUGAAGAGGGGUUUGCGUCUGAUUAGGCAGUUGGUGAGGUAACGGCCCACCAAACCUACGAUCAGUAGCCGGUCUGAGAGGAUGAACGGCCACACUGGAACUGAGACACGGUCCAGACUCCUACGGGAGGCAGCAGUGGGGAAUCUUCCGCAAUGGGCGAAAGUCUGACGGAGCAACGCCGCGUGAGUGAUGACGGCCUUCGGGUUGUAAAGCUCUGUGAUCGGGGACGAACGGUCCGUAAGCCAAUACCUUAUGGAAGUGACGGUACCCGAAUAGCAAGCCACGGCUAACUACGUGCCAGCAGCCGCGGUAAUACGUAGGUGGCAAGCGUUGUCCGGAAUUAUUGGGCGUAAAGCGCGCGCAGGCGGCUUUCUAAGUCCAUCUUAAAAGUGCGGGGCUUAACCCCGUGAUGGGAUGGAAACUGGAAAGCUGGAGUAUCGGAGAGGAAAGUGGAAUUCCUAGUGUAGCGGUGAAAUGCGUAGAGAUUAGGAAGAACACCGGU
rnacentral:rRNA from 1 species